CGGCUCCGCGCGCUUGCCUGGCGAGGCCCGGACCCCGGGCGCUACUCGGCCAAAACGGCCGCGGCUUCCCCGCACGGGGAACCCGCGCGCGACCGCCGCUGUGCCGUGCCAGAAAAGGCUCGCCUGCCCCCGGGACCGCGGAGGGGGGGCAGGCAGAAAGGAGCUCCUAUUCGCUUCUCAUUUCCCCAGCGACAAAGUCUGACGUCGCCGCAUCAGGUCCCCAUCCUAAGCAGUUCUCUCCCAGAGAUUUGAUAUCCCGUCUUACGUGGGGCUGGGCAAGUUCAUGGUGUGAUCCAAAGCUGAGCAUCACCUACACAGAGUGCUAGUUUAUAGCAAGAACUGACUCCGGGCUACUCUCCAGUUCCAUGCCUAUGAUGUAGUCAUCAGAGUUGCAAAGGAACUAGAGGAUUCAUCUGACUUAACUGGAGAUGGCUCCCUUCCCCAUGUAUUGUUCCAUUCCUAAAGCUUCCCUCCUACCGGGCUCAGUGAGAGCAGAUGGGAAGAGGCACCCACCUCAGAGGUAUACAACAUAAUGAUUCGAUAUUUGUAUAUAUUGCAAAAUGAUCACCAUG